UAUAAAUUUGAUUCUAGUUUAUUUUUAAAUAAUUAAACUUAAUGAUUUUAAUAUGUAAGUCUUUGCAUGAAUAUUGUAAAUAUUUAAAUAAUAUUUAUUAUAAAUUAUAAACGCAGUUUUUAGUAUUAUGUAUUUAAUAUUUUAAGACAUAGUUAAUUUUGUGGUUGACUAGCGAAAAUUGUGCCAGCAGCUGCGGUUAUACAAUUAGUUAGAAUUAUUUUUAUUAGGGUUAUUUAUUAAUGAUGGUAUUUAUUGGCUAUAAAAGUUUUUAUUUUAAGUGAAAUUUAUAUAUUUAUUAUUACUAGCUUGGUAAAAUUUUUUAUUAUAUGAAUAUAAGAAAUUCUUGGUCUAGACUAGGAUUAGAUACCCUAUUAUUCAGAAUGUAAAAAAUUAUUCUUAGUAUUAUAAGUUAAGAUCUUUAAAUUGAAAGAAUUUGACGGUAAUUUUAAUCAUUUUAGAGGAACCUGUUCUGUAAUUGAUAAUCCACGAUAAAUUCCACCUUUAAAAACAAUGGUUUUGUGAAUUGUUUGUAUAUCUCUGUCUGAAUUGAGUGUUUUAUUAGAAUAUUCUCUCUAAUUUUUUAUAAAAUAUAUGUCAGGUCAAGGUGCAGCUAAUGUAAAGGUUUGAGAUGGGUUACAUUUAAUUAUAAAUAUUAUUAUUGAAUUAAUUUAUUUAUUAUAAAUUAUGAAAUUGGAUUUAAUUGUAAUGGGUAAUAUAUUUUAUUCAUGAUAUAUGUUCUUGAUUAAGUACAUAUCGCCCGUCACUCUCAUUAUAAGAUGGGAUAAGUCGUAACAAAGUAGUUCUAUCGGAAGAUGGGGCUGGAAUUAUA
rnacentral:ncRNA from 1 species